rnacentral:piRNA from 1 species
UAGUUUCCUCGCCUGUAAAGUCAGG